GGUUGAUCCUGCCAGUAGUCAUAUGCUUGUCUCAAAGAUUAAGCCAUGCAUGUCUAAGCACGAACUUUUACACAGUGAAGCUGCGAAUGGCUCAUUAGGUCACCCAUUAUUUCUUGGAUCGUACAAUCCUACUUGGAUAACUGUGGUAAUUCUAGAGCUAAUACAUGCGAGCAAGCUCCGACCCGGCUCGUCCGCGGAAAGAGCGCGUUUAUUAGAUCAAAACCAAUCGGUCGGUCGUCGAAAGGCGGCAGGCCGUAACCUUUGGUGACUCUGGAUAACUUUGAGCGGAUCG
rnacentral:rRNA from 1 species